rnacentral:rRNA from 1 species
GAUGAACGCUGGCGGCGUGCCUAAUACAUGCAAGUCGAGCGAACAGACGAGGAGCUUGCUCCUCUGACGUUAGCGGCGGACGGGUGAGUAACACGUGGAUAACCUACCUAUAAGACUGGGAUAACUUCGGGAAACCGGAGCUAAUACCGGAUAACAUGUUGAACCGCAUGGUUCAACAGUGAAAGACGGUUUUGCUGUCACUUAUAGAUGGAUCCGCGCCGCAUUAGCUAGUUGGUAAGGUAACGGCUUACCAAGGCAACGAUGCGUAGCCGACCUGAGAGGGUGAUCGGCCACACUGGAACUGAGACACGGUCCAGACUCCUACGGGAGGCAGCAGUAGGGAAUCUUCCGCAAUGGGCGAAAGCCUGACGGAGCAACGCCGCGUGAGUGAAGAAGGUCUUCGGAUCGUAAAACCCUGUUAUUAGGGAAGAACAAAUGUGUAAGUAACUAUGCACGUCUUGACGGUACCUAAUCAGAAAGCCACGGCUAACUACGUG